CACAGAAGGACCUCCACCAUCAGAUGUCCUUGGGAUAAAUCACUUAAUAAGCUCCUCUGACUCCAAAAUCCAAGAUCUAUAAAGAAAAAUAAUGGAGUGAUAAUGCUCACUGAAGAAUCAUAGACCAUCUAACAAAAACCCCAGAGCCAAGCACGGAAAACCUCCCCUCAAGUUCUUAAACAAGGAAGUUCAAGAGACUCCCUAAAACAAUGUAGACUACUUCCAUGGCUGUUGAUUGCUUCCUAAAACUUCAUGUAAGACCAGACUUCUAAGGACACCACAUACUUCAAACACAAGACUUGGAGGAAUCAAGCUGCAAUUGAUCUGGUUCUUCCUCCCUGAGGAAUGGCUUUCAUAUUAUCAGAAGGUACAGUGAAAGCUGCCAAAGGAGAUGGGAAAUCAAGUCCUACACAGAUGUGAAUUCGAUGAACCACAGCAAUGACUAGACCAGCAAUAUACCCAUAAUGGUGCAAUAGUGGCACUUUUGUCUUGGGAGACCAACAUCUGUCAAAUUGGACUUAAAGCCCUCUCAAUAGGAAGGAAUUUAUGCCUGGUAGUGUAGACCUAUCCAAAUAUUCAGAGGUGGAGAGAUAAAAAAUGCAGGAGGAGAAUCUAAAGCAUUUUCCUAAAUAUUGUUUCUAACUAUAUUGUAAAUACUUUUCAUUACAACCACGGGUAACUGUAGCCCUCACUUGCCAUCAAAGAUUAUUUUGUCAACAGUUGAAGACUAUUGCAGACAUCUAUAAUUGGUUGAAAUCCAGAGAAUAAGUGACUGUGAGGUGCAUAACCACAGCUAAUACAUAUGCAGCACAACCCCUACACCUAUGUCUGAGAGAACGUCUGAGAGAAUACCACAGAAGAAGGAGCAUAAAGACUGUAAGAGCCAAAAUACAGGGUAUCUGAAGUGAGAUAUGGUCUUCUAUAUAUGACAGGGAUGCUGUAUCUGUGAACUCUCCUGCCUAAGGACUUAGCUUUCAUAGUACCAGAAGGCACCAGGCAGUCUUCCAGAGAAGGAAAGCAAUCAGCAGACCCACCUGUUUAUGCCUUUUAUGAACCACAAUGACAAACUUACUCUUUAAUUCGACUUAGAAUCAGCUCAACGAGAAAGAAAUUAUGGCUGGUUCUACAAUCAUAGCCAACUACCUAUGCAUCUUGGAAGAGAACCUACACCAUGUGGCUAAAACAAUAUAACCCCCAGCUACAUCCUAAGUAUUCACAGUUAGGUGUAGUCUUCACUCCUCAUCAAGAAAAUUUCUCUUUGCAACAGUCAGAAAACCACUACCAAUCAAAAUGUAGAGUUGUAGACUAUAAUGUAGACUCCAAUCCCAAUGUAUACAUCCACAAAACAACUCCCUCACAUAAGGCUCAGGUCAUAUUUCAGAAGAGGAGGUCAAAAGGUUCUAAGAACCAAAGAACCAGAGAGUUGCUGAGAGAUUACAUCUCCUACAAAUGUCAGAAGCUGCAUUUAUAAAGUUACACCUGUGUAGUUACCUAAACAUGAGCUGAACAAGGGACAACAACAGAUAUACUAAAGUGAAUGGUGGUGGAGGCCCAGGAGACCUGAACCCUACACAAAGAACUACAGGGAACUAAGGAAUGCUGAAAGCAGGAAAAAUAGACUUUCUCAUUGAAAGAACACACCGGUUAUCCCUGAUAACUAUACAUACUGAGCAGGACAUAUACAUAUACAUAUACAUAUACAUAUACAUAUAUGUAAACAACCAAUUUUUAAAAGAAUCCAUGAAUUUGAAAGAGCAAGGAAGCGUAUAUUUGAAAGAAGGAAAGUACUCCCUGCUGUGUCCCUCAUCAGGUCCUGGCUGCCAAGUCACUAGGAAACAAGAAAUGAAUGCUGGAAAACCCUGUGGCUGUUCUGAACUAAAGAACUGCAAACAUGACCAGAGUUCUCCACAAACCCUCCUAGACUGUCAAAAGAAAAAUGGCAACAAGCUGCAGCCACUCAAUGAAGCAAUAUUUUCCUUAUUACUUGCAAAGUCUUUUAUUUGGCCUCAUCAGUAUCAUGUUUGAAACAAUUUUAAGACUGGGGCAAUACUUGGGGUAGCCAUCUGUUCUCUUGGAUUAGCUGUCAGAUGAAUAGAGUGUUGAGAGUCAAUAUUUUCAC
ensembl:lncRNA